rnacentral:lncRNA from 1 species
CCCUGUGUUUGAUCCUUUGAUAGCCCCUUUGAGCCUAUGCUUUCCCCAUUUCUUUGUUUUGAAGCUUAUACACUAGCCCUAAGUGAAAAACCAUGUUUACCUUAACCUUAGGGAAUUUUGGAGCUUUGGAAUUGUUUUGGGAAUAAGUGUGGUCUUCCGGGGGAUUCAAAUGAGUUGGCUAGAUGGUUCCUCUUCUUGCUUUUGUUUUGUAAUCAGGGUGUAUCUUGUCUCUUGAAAUUUGUGUUCUCAAAAGAAAGAAAAGAAAAGAGACAAGAUGAAAAAAUAAAAGAAAAAAAAAUAUACAGAAAAAUGAAAAAAAAAAGAAGUUUUGUGAAUAAUGGAGUCAAGAAGAGGAUGGAACUAGAGGUUGUGGGUGUUUUUGAAUGUGUUUACACUUGUUCCCCAUUGCUCCUCUGUUCCUUAUGGUUUGUAGCUUCUUAUCCAGAUGUAUCCUCCCUUGUCCUUGGCCCCAUUACAACCAUGAAAAGACCUUUUGAUUUGAACAUGCAUAUGUCUUUGAGUAUUGAUUUUAGAGGCUUGUCAAGUCUAUUUGUGUUUGCUUUCUUGAGUGCAUUGAGUGACAUUGAUUUACCCUAAACACUUGAGAGAAACACUGAUAGUGUGCAUCUGCGAGGUUCUAUUACUUUUGAUUCACCUCUUGAACUGAUUGAUUAUUUUUCCAUGUUCUGAAAUCCUUGGAUGAUUUCUUGAGUAUCUGCUUUCCUUGAUUCUGUGUUGGAUACUGUCUACUACUUUUCCUUGUCCAGAGUUCUUGAGAACUGUAAUUCUGUUUGUCUCUGCCCUUGUUAGUCUUAGUUUUCUGUCUGUUGAUUCUGUGUCUCCUUCCUGAUGUCUUCUGAACAGUUCCCUGAUUUGCGUCAUGAUUUUGCCCAGGAGUGCAAAAGACUAAGUGUGGUCUAUUUUGAUGAGUCGAUAUUUUAUUGAUUUCACUUAGUUUAUUGCACCGAAUUUAAUCAGGGAAUUGUGCUUAAUUGUCCGAUAUUUUCCGUUUUUCCUAAUAGUGCUUAAUUUGACCGAAAAUUCUAAUUUUAAUUAAUUUGAAUUUUCUGAGCUAAUUAUUUGCAUUAUUAUUUGCAGGGAAAAUUUUGGAAAUACUAUUUGGAACAUUUGGAAGUUAAAUGUGGUGCAGCCACUACCCGCUUGAUAUUUAUUUGCCUUGGACACUGAUUUCAUUGCAGUAUAAAUAUUGAAUUUU